UACGUAGGGUGCAAGCGUUGUCCGGAAUUAUUGGGCGUAAAGAGCUCGUAGGCGGUUUGUCGCGUCUGCCGUGAAAGUCCGGGGCUCAACUCCGGAUCUGCGGUGGGUACGGGCAGACUAGAGUGAUGUGGGGGGAGACUGGAAUUCCUGGUGUAGCGGUGAAAUGCGCAGAUAUCAGGAGGAACACCGAUGGCGAAGGCAGGUCUCUGGGCAUUAACUGACGCUGAGGAGCGAAAGCGUGGGGAGCGAACAGG
rnacentral:rRNA from 1 species